CACAUUUAUUAGUCGGCAUUGAAUUUGAACCUUAGCGUUUUAGUUAGUGAAGGAUAACCCUCAGUUGUCAUCUGUCUGCGUCACUAUUUGUUACCUUUUCUCCCAUUCAAAGAAGAGGAAUUGAAUCGAUGAUAGAUUUUAGUUUCUAAGUGUCCCUAUGUCCAUCAUCAAAGCAGUUGGAGAUUAGAUUGACAUAAGUGAAC
rnacentral:lncRNA from 1 species